GUCCACGCUGUAAACGAUGAUUACUAGGUGUGGGGACUGACCCCUUCCGUGCCGCAGUUAACACAAUAAGUAAUCCACCUGGGGAGUACGGCCGCAAGGUUGAAACUCAAAGGAAUUGACGGGGCCCGCACAAGCAGUGGAGUAUGUGGUUUAAUUCGAAGCAACGCGAAGAACCUUACCGGGUCUUGACAUCUACAGAAUCCUUUAGAGAUAAGGGAGUGCCCUUCGGGGAACUGUAAGACAGGUGGUGCAUGGUUGUCGU
rnacentral:rRNA from 1 species